rnacentral:rRNA from 1 species
GGGGAAUAUGCACAAUGGGCGAAAGCCUGAUGCAGCGACGCCGCGUGAGGGAUGACGGCCUUCGGGUUGUAAACCUCUUUCAGCAGGGAAGAAGCGCAAGUGACGGUACCUGCAGAAGAAGCGCCGGCUAACUACGUGCCAGCAGCCGCGGUAAUACGUAGGGCGCAAGCGUUGUCCGGAAUUAUUGGGCGUAAAGAGCUCGUAGGCGGCUUGUCACGUCGAUUGUGAAAGCCCGAGGCUUAACCUCGGGUCUGCAGUCGAUACGGGCUAGCUAGAGUGUGGUAGGGGAGAUCGGAAUUCCUGGUGUAGCGGUGAAAUGCGCAGAUAUCAGGAGGAACACCGGUGGCGAAGGCGGAUCUCUGGGCCAUUACUGACGCUGAGGAGCGAAAGCGUGGGGAGCGAACAGGAUUAGAUACCCUGGUAGUCCACGCCGUAAACGGUGGGAACUAGGUGUUGGCGACAUUCCACGUCGUCGGUGCCGCAGCUAACGCAUUAAGUUCCCCGCAUGGGGAGUACGGCCGCAAGGCUAAA